AAGACUAUAGACCUGCGGAGUACCUGCGGAGGGAUCAUUAUUGAGCUGAAACUCUUUUGGCUGGAUUGCUGUUGUUGCUGGCCCCUUUGGGGGGGGGCAAUGUGUACACACAAACUCUGGUCAUUUUAUGUUUCUUCUUCUGUUCCACCUGUGCACUGCAUGUAGACACACACACUCUGUGUCUAUGAUAUGUUACACACACACAAUCAUACAUAUGGGCAUAGUAUUGCAUGUAUAACA
rnacentral:misc_RNA from 1 species